GGCGCCGCCGGGCGGACGCAGCGUUGCCGCGACAACCUGCACACACACAUGAAGGUGCAUCGCACGGACAACAACGCGAGCUGGUGAGGGGGCGCCGCCGGAAGGACCGAAGCGUUGGCACGUGGGGGUGGGGGGGCUGCCUCUCUGGUGCUGAGUGAUGUAAACCUGGAUCGGUGAUGAUGCACCGCCUUGUGAUCUGAGUUAACAACACUACAUGCUGUUGCUGUACAAUGCCAGAUAACUGUGUUACUGAGAAAGAACUCCUAGUUGCCAGUGACGUGUUUUCAAAUCGGUGAGCUGGGGCCAUCCCUCGAAAAUGUCACCCGGCCAAUCACACCGGAAUCAAGACGAGCGAGAAUUCUAAUUUAUUUCGCUUGUAAUUUGAUUAACAAAUAAUCAAUUAUUAAACCUGCACGUUUUGUUUUGGGGGCUGUCUAUCGAUUCUUCGCUUGCAUAAGGUUGCUGCAAAUAGGAAUUUUAUGCUAGGAGUGCUUUAUCUGGUUAUUAUUAAGGUUGUGGUGUUGUACUACAUACUCUAGCCUCACACCAACCCAUCUUAUUCCUACUCUAAUCCUAGCUUCCACUCGAACACAUCUUGUCCCUACCCCAAUCAUAAUGUGUACUGCGACGCCCUGUAAAAAACAGGGUUUCACGGUGAGAGCGUGCGAUUGGGCUGACUAGGUGUGUAUCAUGAGGAUUCUGCAUGAGACACUUGCACACUCCUAUCGUUCUACCUUCUUAAAAGUUUGUGCCGAUCACGAGACGAGCAGACGAAGCUAGUUGGCCAAAUCAUGUGCGCUGUUAUUUAUACAGUAGAUGUAUACCACAGCUUACGAUAUAUUAUAUAUAUACAUUACAAUUUACAUCGAGAGUAGAUAAUAACACGUGUGUGAUGAUGUGUUAUUAUCCACUCUUGAUUACAUAUAUAUAUAAUAUAUAUAUAUUCAUAUAUAUGUACAUACAUUUUGGAUCGUGUUCAGUUUCGUGCUGGUGACUGUGAGAUUCAUACGAUAAAUAGUUGGUUUAAAAAAAAGAAAGAAGCAUGGCAUUUUUACAGGUAGUAUGGUUUAUUUACAUAAAUCACGUUUUGUUGGUUAAUCAGCUUGCGCCUAGUAGAUGUAGCCGUGUGCUAACAAUGGCAAAUAUUUAUUUCGCGUAUGUAUACAUUUUUCUGCAUUAGGAAUGAUCAUGAGGGAGAUAAUGGAAAAUAAAUUCGUAGUGGUAUUCA